rnacentral:tRNA from 1 species
GCCGGCAUAGCUCAGUGGUUAGAGCGGAGCACUCAUAACGCUCAGGUCGAUGGUUCGAUUCCAUCUGUCGGCA